rnacentral:rRNA from 1 species
UACAGAGGGGGCAAGCGUUGUUCGGAAUUACUGGGCGUAAAGGGCGCGUAGGCGGCCUUCUAAGUCGAACGUGAAAUCCCUGGGCUCAACCCAGGAACUGCGUCCGAUACUGGAAGGCUUGAAUCCGGGAGAGGGAUGCGGAAUUCCAGGUGUAGCGGUGAAAUGCGUAGAUAUCUGGAGGAACACCGGUGGCGAAGGCGGCAUCCUGGACCGGUAUUGACGCUGAGGCGCGAAAGCCAGUGGAGCAAACGGG